GCCUUCUUGGUGUAAUCAUCAGCACACUCGGCUCAUAUUCGACAGGUCCGAGGUUCGAGUCCCGGCGAGGGCA
rnacentral:tRNA from 1 species